AUAACAUACUCAGGACCAAUUGCAUACUCUGGAAGCCUCUCUGUUCGAUCGGAUGCAAGCACAACGAGCGGAAGAUCCUUCGCUUUCCCUAUAUUGCAAUCAGAAUGGAACAGUAGUCCUGUAAGAAUGGCAAAAGCUGACAAGAGAAGACAAAAAGGAGGAUGGAGACACACUCUUCUCUGCUGUAGAUUCUCUUGAUGCCUCUCCUCCAUAAUUUUUAGUCCUAAAGCUUUUCUACUUUGAAGCACAGAAGAAGAAGAAAGAUCUACUAAAUUUACAAUAUUUUCUUAAAUUUGGAGUGCUUUUUUUUCAGUAUUGAAAGUAAAUAAUUUUCUUCUUUUUUUUUUUUUUAUGGGUGAGUGAUUUAUAGUCAUGCCAUGGUGUGUGUAAUUGGCAUUUUGGUAGUUUACCAUUUUUGGUUAACAGUUUAGGGGCUAUAAGUUUUGGUUUCAGAAUGGUUGGUUUAUGUGUAACCGAUGCGUUUAUUAUAAUUUUUACAAUGAAGAGUCUUUUAGAUUAA